UUUUUUUUUUUUGGAAUUAAGAAUUUUACACAUCAGCGACUGCAUUCCCACAAGGACAAGUUCGUGGAUGCCCUAAGGACACAUUUCUGUACAAACCACAAUUGAACUUGGUCCUUCUAUCCUGCCUCAGCCGAGGGACGGGGAAGCGUGGUCUUAAAGGGACUUUUACAUGCCCUGUGGUUCUGUACAUCUUUGUUUGACUAGCACAGAAAUCAUCAAAAGAGAGGAAUAGGGACGCCCACGAUGUCCCGUGCAGAGGCCGCCGGCCUUGUCCCCCAGGCAGCACGUCCCCCCCAGGUGUGGCGUCAGGGCUCCUGCGGGACUCGGGUCCUUUAAGCCACCAGCUCACACCCUCCCCUCUGGGCCAGAAACAAACUUCCAUCUGUCUUCGUACCACAUCCUCACUGUGUUUUGUGGAAUGUUCCACGUGCACUGACGGGUGGAUUGGAAGAAAGAGGACAGGAGGACAGGAGGAAGAACCUUCCCAAGAAGGAACCCUCCCUUAAGGAAGUGGACGCUCAGAGUUAGUUACUAGACAAGCUGCAGGUGGACAAAACCCUCCCACAAAGAAAGGCACGAGCUCAGAGCCCAGCCCUGCUCCUUCGGGCCUGUAAUCCCCGCCAAGCUCGAGGCCCGAGGAGCAGGGACCCAGCAAACGUCUGGGAGACGGACAGCGGAGCACAGCUCAUGUGUUUUGUGGCCCAACACUGUUACCGUCGUUUCACUGCGAAUGGAUGAGCGACACGUGACACCGUUCAAGCGCCUCCGGGCCUCUUCUGAAGGGCAAAUUACACGUUUCCACCACCUACCAGGGGAGACACUCAGGGCUUCAGCUGGAAGAAAACGUCCCACUCUAAGUCUGUGCCUCCAGCUUUGUUUUCUUAGGAUUUGGCUUCCUGGAGAUACCAUCCAGAGUGGCGGCUGCGCCGCAGUAGGAGCCCCACGGACGGAUGACAAGGAUAAACAUGCUCCUGCUUUCAUCACUUAGGGAGCACUGGUCACUCUGGACAGUGGCGGGCACUCCAGAAAGGAAGCCGACAGGACCUCUGCUCCCCCAGACCCUCAGCGCAGAAUAAACCAGGUCACACGAGGGAGGCCCGUUUCAAACGGCACCAGGGCCUCCGAGGUUUUGCUCGAUGGCUGGGCUUGAACUUCAAUCACCAUGAAAUGAAGCAAGCGCAGUGAGCGGGUCCGUGGCCGCCGAUUCUGAGGCUCCGAGAAGGGCUGGGCUGAGGCGACGGCCAGGGGCCAGGGGAGCGCGGGCGUGUCUGGUGACUGAGGAGUCCCCCAAGGUUUCAGCAGAGAAUAAAGGAGAGGCCGGAGGGAGAGAGAGUGAGCAUCACCCCCAGAGGGGGCGUGAAGGGGGUCCUGGCGGUCCACUGGCAAACGAGAGAGCGGAGGCGAAGAUGCCGACCAGCAGGAACGAAAUCGCCCGACAUAGAAAUACACGUGGUCACCGUUUCCUGCGCAAGCGCGUUAAAACCAAGCCUUGGGCAGGCUAAUCGGAUUUUAAAAGCCCUAAGAGAGUUUACUGUUCUGAGACGUUCUUGCUGAACUCCUUUGACUAGAAUAAUUCUUUUGUAAAAUAAAUAAUCUGCCACACAAACUUAUCUUUCGCUUCAAUCAGACCACAGCCUCGCCUGGCCUGUUCCAUAAUCAGCACAGCUGGAUUUAGGGCCAGAGACAGAGACAGACUCAGACACAGAGAUCAAGACACACACACGUGACAGCUUUUCCAGAAUAAUGUCUUUAAAGCUGGCUGUGGACAAGCUCAGAGAAACUCACACCAUCCUGGGGGCCAGUUGCAAACGCUGCAGCACAGGACAAACCUCUGAACCCGCCUGUGGCAUGUGGCUUCACAGAACCACUGGCCUGCGCACAGUCCAUUCUGGUUUGGGUUGGUUUGGUUGGUCGGUUGGUUUUGUUAGCAUUAAUGCCACACCCGCAGCAUAUGGAAGUUCCUGGGCCAGAGACUGAAUCCAAGCUUCACCGGGACCAACACCACAGCUUCGGCAACACCAGAUACCUUAACCCACUGUGCCAGGACGCUGAACCCUCUGCACCACAACGGGCACUCCAUUUUCUAGCUUGUUUUUGAUCACAGGACGCAUCAGACUUGAGAGGGGGAAUACGCAAGAAACCGAUCUGCAUAUUUCUCGUGGGAUUGACUAUUCUUAUUUUUUGUAAGGAGACUAAGUGGAAUUAAGUUGGUUUUGAGCGUUCGGGCGGGAGCUGUAAGCACAUCAACAUGUGAAAUAACUCUGACUCUCAAGUCUGUUUCAUGUGAAGAAAACGCUCACAUCACAGAAAGAUGGUCACCCUAAUUGGCAACCUUUCAGAGGAAGGCUACACGCAAGAGCGACGCACCUCCUGCCAGACCUCGGACCCGCCCCAAAGUGACUAAAUACAGCCUCGGUAAUACAACAGCAUCGCCAAGACUGCCGUUCCAAAUACAGUUCUAUGGAUGACACUGUGUGUUCAGUCCAUAAGAAAACAGCCAAGCUCAUGCCAAAAUGUUUAUGUAUCAAACCAGACACACACACACACACACACACACACACACACACACACACACACACGCUUCUGUGGAAAGACAAAUCGGGAAACGGCUGCCACCUCUUGCGGGGAGGGUCUUUCCCAAAGACCAGUCCAGGUUCUUCAGGGUUUGGUUUGGUUCCAUUCGCAAAACUAAGCAGUGAACAUUUGCAAGACUCUCCGCUGAAGGGCAUAUGUAAGAAGGAAUCGCAAAGCCCUCAGAAACCAACAGGACGGCAGCCUGCUUCCCACGGGGCUUUAUGGGAAAAGUCACCCCACUUUAUUCUGACAUUUGCCCACUGGGCCGGACAGAGCACACACCCACAUUCUGGAUGAGGAAGCUGAGUCUCAAGGGCAAGUGUUCCUGGGAUGAGGCUGGAGGGGUUGGCGGAGGACAGCUGGCACAGCUCCACGUGCGAAGCUGGUGGCAGAUGGGGGGGGCUCCUUCUGCUCCUCCGCCUGUGCCUCCAGCAACAUGGUCAGUUCAGGGGGCAGGUGUGGCAAAGAGGAAAAACCAUGACAGAAACGCAGAGCGACCUUGAUGAACGCAGUCUGGGGCAGAAACAGGGCUCUCACCUGGCAGCUCUGUGCGGGCGUCACCCUGUCACCUCCGGCAGCCGGCCAGGUUCUCCCUGCAAAGCCUGGGAAUGCCCCCAGUCCUCUGGGAGAGCGGGUCGUCUGGGAGCGUGGCCUCCACCGCGCAGCGUCGUNNNNNNNNNNNGCGUCGUGUCCUGUUACCACCCAGGCACGCCCAGCGCCCUCAGCAGACAGGGCUUGUGGGUCCAUCCCCUGAGCUGUCCGGUGGACGGAGGCUCAGCACGGCCGGCUGAUGUGGGGGGCGCAGAGCAGAGGGGACCCCGCAGGGCAGGGUCCUGUCCUGCAGGGAUUCAAAGCGAGUGGGCACAGGAGACGGGGAAGGAAGGAAGCAGAGCUGGGCUCUGGGGCGGGGGGGCCCUGCUGUCAGGAGGCCACGCAGCGGAUGCCCAGCGCACCGGGAUGCAGCCCGGAGUCCCCUCCACUGGGUCUGCUCCUGAGCCACGGGUCCAGGAGGAGGUGCCCACUGGACAGUCAGACCCGCCUUGCUGACCCCCGCGAUGUCGCGCUCACGCCCUGAGUUUUGCAAGGGAUGGAGUUCUGCGCUUCUGCUUCAGGAGGAGAGGAGGUGCUGGGGCUCGAGGCGGGAGCUCGGCCUCGGUGAGACUCAGAGCCGCUCCAUCGCUGGCUCCCAGAGAGAUCCGGCUUUCCCACGGGAUCGCGGACAGAAGGCUGAACUCUGAACUCGAGGCCACACGAAGCUUCCCAGCCUCAGGAUGCUAGCCGGUGUGCCCCAGUUUCCCAUGUGGCACAGGGGUUCCUGAAUCUUGUGCAAACUGCAAAGUCCUUUUUUUUUCUUUUUCUUAGGGCUGCACCCGUGGCACAUGGAGGUUCCCAGGCUAGGGGUCGAAUUGGAGCUACAGCUACUGACCUACACCGCAGCCACAGCAAUGCCAGAUCUGAGCAGCAUCUGUGACCUACACCACAGCUCACGGCAACGCCGGAUCCUUAACCUGCUCAGCAAGGGCAGGGAUGGAACCCGCAACCUCAUGGUUCCUAGUCGGAUUCAGUUCCACUGCGCCACGAUGGGAAUGCCCCGCAGACUCUUAGAUAGUGUUUACCCGAAUUUUAAAGCCACCAGAAAGGAACAUGACAGAAAGGAGAGCAUCAAAACCCCAUAAAUGUUAACACAUGUUAACAGCUGUUCUCUAAAGUGAAACUGGAGGUGGGUUUUGUUUUUCUAAGUUUUCCUUAUUUUCUAUAAUUUGCUUACAUGGAGCACAUAUGCCUGUUAUCUUCAAAGAUAAAGGAAAUAUUUUAAAUGCACUAAAAAUAGAAUUACACCUCCCCCCAAGAGAUGCCUAUGUCACUGGGUAUGGGGGCCCACCCCACACCUGCAACCACAAAAGAAGCCUGCUCUGGUGGUGCCCACCCCCUCCCCCGGCCAGAUGCCCUCUGUUUCUUCUUAGGAAGUCCCAUCAUCGUCAUUAUUACUAUUAUUUUGCUUUUUAGCACCGCACCCACGGCAUAUGGAAAUUCCCCAGGCUGGGGGCUGAAUCGGACCUACAGCUGCUGGCCUACAUCACAGCCACAGCCACGCAGGAUCCCAGCCACGUCUUCAACCUACACCACAGCUCAUGGCAACGCCGGAUCCUUAACCCACUGAGGGAGGCCAGAGAUGGAAAGCGCGUCCACAUGGGUACUUGUCAGGUUCAUUUCCAACGAGCCAUGACAGGAACUUCUGUAAGUCCCGUUAUCGCAGGAGAUUCCCCGACUUCUUGGGAGAAACCCAGACUCUGAAGGAGAGACACACAUCAGCCACCCGAGACGCCCGGCGUCUCCAUGAACCCCGAUAAACACACCUGUAACUGGACCACCCCAAGCCACCAGCAAACAACUGAUCCAACAGUGAAAGACGGAUCGCUGGCGUCUGAGAGCAAUUUCGGGAAUGCCUUAUCAUCACGGCAGACUUAGCCACAACUAAUUCCAGAGCUUCCUUUGAGCAUCUGGUAUACCAGGCUCAGCACGGGGACAGAAAGAAAGAAGUCCACGGAGCAGGCCGUGAGCACGGCAGGCUCUAAACGAGCCCAAAGUAUGAAAAGAGAUGUGUCUAGACUUACCCGGGUUCAAUCAGGGGCAGGAUUUAAACUAAAAUCCAGGCUUUCCUGUUAUCAGUAGUUUAUUGCUGAGUCAAGGGGCUGGGAGGCAGAGGGACCCCUGCCCCCCUGCGGGGUUCUGGCCCUCUUGCCACUGUGCGCAAGCAGUCUGACAGGUGACCUGGUCCUGUCCCGCCUCCCACCGCCUCCCGUUUGUCUAGGCAGCCUGAUCUCUGAGCCCACGGCGCUGAUGCCCGCUCAGGGCUCACCCCUUCCAGGGCCUCUCUGCAAACCCACAUGAUUCUACGUCCAUCUAGCCUCCCAGUCCUUGUCUGCUGGUCCACACCAUCCAGCAAGGAUGCACAUGCAAUCUCUCCAUUCUGCAAACUGGCCUCAACGUUGUACCUCAUGCAGGGGAUUCUUUUGAUUGUAAAACUGGUUUCUAAGGUCUUAAAGCAAGAACAUGCAUUACAGGGCAGUGUUUGCAGGGAGACUGGGUGGGAGAUGGAAGGAGGAGAGACAGGAACUGGAGGGGGGGUGGUCCUGGCUCCACCCCAGCACAGCAACAUCAGGUCCUCCGGACACAGAAGGGUCCUACCUUCCUCCUUCUGUUUGUCCCCCACCCCAAGGGGAUUUUGGGGUGUGCUCUGGGGGUGUCUUAGCUUCCAAAAUUUCUUCCCUCUCUUUCUGAAUCUUUCUAGAACAUUCUGCUGCUGAAAAAAAAUACAUAUGGCAGAUCAUUCCCUCCUUCAGGCCAAAAUUCUUAAUGCUCAUAUCCUAGAUCCUAUUUAUAUGUACAAAGAAAUGUCUUGAAAG
rnacentral:lncRNA from 1 species